rnacentral:rRNA from 1 species
UAAUAGUGUAUAUUAAAGUUGUUGCAGUUAAAAAGCUCGUAGUUGAAUGUUGGUGUCGAACGAGCGGUCAGCUUCGGCUGUACUGCUCUCUCGACUCCUUCCUUCUGUGGACUACGUCGCACUUUACUGUGUGGCGCUAGGACGCAGAUCGUUUACUGUGAAAAAAUUAGAGUGUUCAAAGCAGGCCGUACGCUUGAAUACAUUAGCAUGGAAUAAUGGAAUAGGACGUCGGGCCUAUUUUGUUGGUUCUAGGACCGUCGUAAUGAUUAAUAGGGACAGUUGGGGCCGUUUAUAUUCCGUAGUCAGAGGUGAAAUUCUUGGAUUUACGGAAGAUAAGCUACUGCGAAAGCAUUCGGCAAGGAUGUUUNCGUUAA